UCUGCAACCUACACCACAGCUCACUUCAACCCACUGAGUGAGGCCAGGGAUCAAACCUGCAUCCUCAUGGAUGCUAGUCAGAUUCGAUUCUGCUGCGCCAUGAAGGGCCCUCCCCAAGUUGCUUUCUAAAGCAAGGGAGCAGCAGGGGCCAAUAAAACUAAGAAGGAAAUUUGGAGCCCUCAACCUGGAACCCACCACUGGCUCACGGUCACCUGGCCGCUGACUUGCCGUAGGACUUUGCACAGGUGACGGGCCUGGGUUUCCUCUUCCGCGAUAUGGAGUUGAUACUACGUUCUCCCGCAGCCUUUGGGCACUGCCGUGAGGCCCAAAGGAGCUCAGAUGAGAAAGUAGUUUGGGAGUUCCCAUCAUGGCUCAGUGGU